GUGAGGAAUAUUGGGCAAUGGGCGAAAGCCUGACCCAGCCACGCCGCGUGAGUGAUGAAGGCCUUAGGGUUGUAAAGCUCUUUCAGUAGGGAAGAUAAUGACGGUACCUACAGAAGAAGCCCCGGCUAACUUCGUGCCAGCAGCCGCGGUAAUACGAAGGGGGCUAGCGUUGUUCGGAUUUACUGGGCGUAAAGCGCACGUAGGCGGAUUGGUCAGUUAGAGGUGAAAUCCUGGAGCUCAACUCCAGAACUGCCUUUAAUACUGCCAGUCUAGAGUCCAGAAGAGGUGAGUGGAACUCCUAGUGUAGAGGUGGAAUUCGUAGAUAUUAGGAAGAACACCAGUGGCGAAGGCGGCUCACUGGUCUGGUACUGACGCUGAGGUGCGAAAGCGUGGGGAGCAAACAGGAUUAGAAACCCGGGUAGUCC
rnacentral:rRNA from 1 species